AUUGAACGCUGGCGGCAGGCCUAACACAUGCAAGUCGAGCGAGCGGCGGACGGGUGAGUACUGUAUGGGGACUGCCCGAUAGAGGGGGAUCACUACUGGAAACGGUAGCUAAUACCGCAUAAUAUGGGCUCCACCAUAUGGGAUUAGCUAGUCGGUGAGGUAAUGGCUAACCUAGUCGACGAUCCCUCGCUGGUCUGAGAGGAUGAUCCGCCACACUGGGACUGAGACACGGCCCAGACUCCUACGGAGGCAGCAGUGGGGAAUAUUGCACAAUGGGCGCAAGCCUGAUGCAGCCAUGCCGCGUGAAUGAAGAAGGCUCUAGGGUUGUAAAGUACUUUCAUUUGGGAGGCGUUACCGACACAAGAAGCACCGGCUAACUACGUGCCAGCCGCCGCGGUAAUAC
rnacentral:rRNA from 1 species